CGGGCGGCGCGCGGCAGAGCCUCAGGGCCCGGUCGCCGCGCCAGCGUCUCUCUCCUGCCUUUCUUUACCGGGGGGCGCGGGGCAUUGUUGACUUGGUUCAACAUUGGAGGGAAUGGCUUCAGAGUGGAGAGGGGUGAUUGCGAUCUGUCGGUUCUUUAACCUCACGUUGAGGGAGGGGUAUGGGAGCUGGAUACAGAGGUCAGAGGCCGUUCAGUAGGGGUCAGAAAAGCUCAGUACAAAAGGGUAGCUGUGAAAAGGCAGAUAAGCCUGCCCUAGUUCAGUGCCCGGCAAAGACCAGCACCUAAACAGUGUGAGUUAUCACUGAUUCUCCAGAUGGGUAAGGAAGAUGAGGAGGGAUUUACAGCACUGGGACAGUGCUCUUCGACUGGCAAAACGCUUGGCCCCAGAACAAAUACCGUUUAUAGCAAAAGAGUAUGCGAUUCAGCUUGAAUCCACGGGAGGUUAUGCAAAUGCUUUGGCCCAUUAUGAGAAAGGAAUAACAGGCGACAAGAAGGAACAGGACGAGCUGAGCCUGGCUGGAGUGGCCCGGAUGUCCAUCCGGAUGGGUGACAUCCGCAGAGGGCUGAACCAAGCCCUCAAGCAGCCCAGCAGGGUCCUGAAGCGAGACUGUGGAGCCGUACUGGAGAAUAUGAAGCAAUUUUCAGAAGCAGCCCAACUGUAUGAAAAAGGCCUCUACUGCAACAAAGCCGCGUCUGUGUACAUCCGCCGUGAGAACUGGGCAAAAGUUCGCGAGCUUCUGCCUCACAUCUCCUCUGCUAAGAUCCACUUGCAGUAUGCCAAAGCUAAGGACGCAGAUGGAAGAUACAAGGAAGCUGUGGUGGCUUACGAGAAUGCCAAGCAGUGGAACGGUGUGAUCCGCCCCUACCUAGACCACCUCAACAACCCAGAAAAGGCCACCAGCAUCGUCAGAGAGACCCAGUCUCUGGAUAGGCCAAGGUUUUUCCUACAGCUCGGUGACUGUGGGUCUGCCAUCCAGUUUCUUGUCAUGUCCAAAUUUAACAGUGAAGCUUUCACCCUGGCUUAG
rnacentral:lncRNA from 1 species